rnacentral:rRNA from 1 species
GAUGAACGCUGGCGGCGUGCUUAACACAUGCAAGUCGAACGGGAAAUAUUUCAUUGAGACUUCGGUGGAUUUGAUCUAUUUCUAGUGGCGGACGGGUGAGUAACGCGUGGGUAACCUGCCUUAUACAGGGGGAUAACAGUCAGAAAUGGCUGCUAAUACCGCAUAAGCGCACAGAGCUGCAUGGCUCAGUGUGAAAAACUCCGGUGGUAUAAGAUGGACCCGCGUUGGAUUAGCUUGUUGGUGGGGUAACGGCCCACCAAGGCGACGAUCCAUAGCCGGCCUGAGAGGGUGAACGGCCACAUUGGGACUGAGACACGGCCCAGACUCCUACGGGAGGCAGCAGUGGGGAAUAUUGCACAAUGGGGGAAACCCUGAUGCAGCGACGCCGCGUGAAGGAAGAAGUAUCUCGGUAUGUAAACUUCUAUCAGCAGGGAAGAUAGUGACGGUACCUGACUAAGAAGCCCCGGCUAACUACGUGCCAGCAGCCGCGGUAAUACGUAGGGGGCAAGCGUUAUCCGGAUUUACUGGGUGUAAAGGGAGCGUAGACGGUGUGGCAAGUCUGAUGUGAAAGGCAUGGGCUCAACCUGUGGACUGCAUUGGAAACUGUCAUACUUGAGUGCCGGAGGGGUAAGCGGAAUUCCUAGUGUAGCGGUGAAAUGCGUAGAUAUUAGGAGGAACACCAGUGGCGAAGGCGGCUUACUGGACGGUAACUGACGUUGAGGCUCGAAAGCGUGGGGAGCAAACAAGAUUAGAUACCCUGGUAGUCCACGCCGUAAACGAUC